GCGCACCAGAGAGGAUGCGUCGGGAACCUUCUCUCACCUUUCCUGGAGAAAUCCGCGGGCAACUGCGUGUUUCCCACGGCGUGUUUCCAACUUGCCGUUCUUAUACAGCACCGACCGACCUUCCACGGGCAACUGCGUGUAUCCCACGGCAUGUUUCCAACUUGCCGUUCUUAUGCAGCAACGACCGACCCUUCCCACCGAUUCGUUCUUGUCGGCCACAACUAAGAAGGAAUUCCAUCUCAGCCGUUGCUUCUUUCCUUUACACUCUGAUCUGGAUCGUUGGCUGCCUCGCUUGAAAUCUAUAAGUGACGGGACUCCCUGCCCUUCCUUGCCACCGUUGUUUUGGUUUCUGGUAUGCGUCGUUCCGUGUCUCCUUAGCCACCCGUUGAUCGUCGAUGGCGGUGCACCCAAUUCCUCAGCCGUCCGUUUUUCGUUGAUUUCGUUUUCGAAUUGGAUGAUCUGUUCUCGAUAGGUGGUGCAUCCAAAGCCUUUUAAUCGUGUGAUUUCGGAUUCGGGCACUUGAAAUUGGUAUUGAGCGAAUCGGAAGAUCUGAUUUUGAUGGAUGGUAGAUCAAAAGCCUUUCAAAUCUUGUGGUUUACGUUAUUGAGCAGUUGAAAUUGGUCUUGAACGAAUUGGGUAAUCUAUUUUCGAUCGAUGAUGGAUCGGAAAAUUUUGAUAUAUGUCGUUUUAUUUUUCGAGCACUUCAAACACGAAAUUGGAUGAUCUAUUUUCCUAAGAAAUACGGAAGGUUGAGAGGGGACUUCACAAGUUGCAGGAUUUUUUAUGCUCCUAGUUUUUUGAAAGAUUAAAUUAUCCUAACUCGCUAGUACGAUGAUCCCAAAUUAUCGAUCUCUCCUUUGUGGCAGAUUUUAUAUAUAUCAUCGACGCGGCUGGUGGUUGGUGAGGCUGUGGUGUUUAUAUGGUUUUUAUCUGUAUGGAGCCCACACUGAGCCUGUGAUGAAGAUUGUUAAGGAUCCUCUGGUUUCCGUUGAAUGAUAAAAAUAGGUUUUCGAUUAGAUAGUGGUUUAUUUAAGGGGUUUCUUUGCUGUGACACACACCGCUUAUUAUCAUGGAUGCAGGUCUUCAGAAAUGCUCUGAACAAUGGAUGUGUCCGGUUUGUGCUGGUUUAGUCGGCCCUCGUUACUUUCAACUAUCAUUUGUUGUACUUAUGUGCACAAGUCAGUUAUUUUGAUACGGUUCUCAUCAAAAUAUGGUUGUUUGUUUUAUUUGUUGUGCAAGGGAAAGCUGAUGGACAUCUAGUUUUGCAUGGGCAUGUGACAGUAUCUUUUUGAAAGAGAGAUGUGAUUGUUUUGCUCUCUUUUGGUAUUUGGUUUUAAUGGAAGAGGUUCCAUUAACUUCUCAUUUUUUCAGCAUUGGCAGUUUAAUUUGUUGAUUAUUUUCCCUGUCUACUACUUCCGUUGGCAUGCUUGGUACAUUUUAUAAAUUUGCACUUUUGAUGUGAGUCUUUCUCUAUGUUUUCUGAAUGUUAAAUUUGCACAUUUUAUAAAUUUGCACUUUUUAUAAAUUUGCAAAUUUAUAAAUUUGCACUUUUUGUUUGCAGUUGCAGAAGGAUCAGCAUUAGCCAUAAGUCUGGUAAAUAGACAUGGUUACUGACCUUUCUUGGAUUGUAUUUGGUAUGAGAAGUGGGUUUACAUUUUUGGUAAGGUUAGUUUAGAUUUAGGAGUCCAAAUUAUUCCCAAAAAUUCGAGAUUUUAUGUUUUUAUCCAAAUGUUAAUUGUUCUUGUUGUCAUGAAUUUUCAGCAGUUACUUGCUGGACUAGUCUUAUUAGAAGAUCAUUUGAACUUCUCAUUUGUCUCUUCUGGGAUUCUUUGUCAGAUAUCUACUUUGCAGCUUAGAUGUCUUUUUGUUUUAACCUGCUUCUGGUCAGGUCAUGAGGUAUUUGGUUCCAGUUAUCUUGUAGAUGUUUUUUGAGUAUGAUGAUGAAUCAUAGGAAAUACGGAAGAUCGAGAGUUUAGGAAUUACGGCAGCUUCUAUUGGUUCUAGUUGAUUCCGAUUAUUAUUUUAAUUACUUGAGGUUUUCCGUUGCCAGAGGACUGCACAGUAUUUAUGGUUUAUAUGCUUCUAGUGCUUUGAAAGAUUGAUUGUUAUAACUCAUGAAUACCUUGAUCCAGAAUUCUCGAGCUCUCUUUUGUGGCAGAUUCUAUAUGCAGUUGGUGAGGCUGUGUUGUGUAUGUGGUUAUUAUCUGUAUGGAGCCCACACAGACCCUAUGAUGCAGUUUGUUCAGGAUGCUCUGGUUUCCUUUGAAUGAUUAAAAUAGGUUUUCCGUUAGAUUCUGUUAUAUUUUAGGGGGUUCUUUGCUGUGAAAUACACUGCUUAUUAUCAUGGAUGCAGGUCUUCUGAAAUGCUCUGAACCAGAGUCUGAACAAUGAAUAUGUCCAGUUUGUGCUGGUUUAGUUGGCCGUCAUUACUUUCAACUAUUAUUUGUUGCACUUGUCUGCACAAGUUGGUCAUUUGAUACGGUUCUCAUCAAAAUAUGGUUGUUUGUUUUUAUUUGUUGUGUGCAAGGGAAAGGAGAUGGACAUCUAUUUUUGCAUGGACAUGUGAGUAGUUUUUUGAAAGAGAGAUGUGUGUGUUUUGCUACUUUCCUAUGGUAUUUGGUUUUAAAUAUGCUCUAACCCUUUGAUCAACUUUGCUGUGCCUGUUGUAUAUCUCUAGUUGGAUGUAGACGGGUCUCAAGUAAGAAGUUCCAUUAACUUCUCAUUUUUUCUGCACUGGCUGUUUAAUUGUUGUUUAUUUUCCCUGUCUGCCACUUCUGUUGGCAUGCUUGUGACAUUUUAUAAAUUUGCACUUUUGAAGUUAUUCGUUCUCUUUGUUUUCUUAAUGUUCUAUUACUAGUGUUUUUGUGUGCAGUUGCAGAAGCAUCAGCAUUAGCCAUAAGUCUGGUAAUUAGACAUGGGUACUGUCCUUUUUUGGAUUGUAAUUGGUAUGAAACAUAGGUUUUACCUUUUUGAUAUGGCUAGUUUAGAUCUAUGAGUGCAAAUUAUUCACGAUUUUUUGGGAUAUUAUGUUUUUGUCCAAAUGUUAAGUAUUCCUAUUGUUGUUAAUUUUCAGCAGCUACUUGCAUGGCAAGUAUUAUUUGAAGGUCAUAUGAAUUUCUGAUUUGUCUCUUCUUAGAUUCUUUGUCAGAAUUGUAAUUUGCAGCUUAAUUGUCUUUUUUUUUUAACCUGUCUUGAGGUAUUUAGUUUCAGUUAUCUUGUAUAUGUUUUUUUAAUAUGACACUAAAUAAUAAGAAUUACAGAAGAUUGAGAGGUUAGGAGUUCCGACAGCUUCUAUUGGUUAUAGUUGAUUUCAAUUAUUAUUUUAAUUGCUUUAGGUUUUUCCUUGCAUUCUCUCAAAGGACUUCACAAUUUGCAGGAUUUAGGGUUUUUAUGAUCCUAGUGCUUAGAAAGAUUAGAUUGUCAUAACUCGCGAGUACUGUGAUCCAAAAUUCUCGAGUCUCUUUUGUGGUAGAUUCUAAAUGUAUCACUGAUGUGGUUGGUGAUGCUGUGGUGUUUAUGUGGUUAUUAUCUGUGUGGUGCGCACACAGACCCAAAGGUGCAGUUUGUUAAGGAUGCUUUGCUUUCCGUUGAAUUAUUAAAAUAGGUUUUCCAUUAGAUAGUGUUAUCUUUAAGGGGUUUCUUUGCUGUGACAUACAUUGCUUAUUAUCUGGUUUGAACAAUGGGUCCUCGUUACUUUCAACUAUUAUUUGUUGCACUUAUGUGCACAUGUUGGUGUUUUGAUAUGGUUCUCAUCAAAAUAUGGAUUGUUUUUAUUUGUUGUGUGCAAGGGAAAGGAGAUGGACAUCUAGUUUUGCAUGGGCAUGUGACAAUAGAUUUUUGAAAGAGAGAUGUGAAUGUUUUGCUACCUUCCUAUGGCAUUUGGUUUUCAGUAUGCUCUAACCCUAUCAUCAACAUUGCUGUGUCUGUUGUUUAUCUCUUGUUGGAUGUAGAAGUUUCUCAAGGAAGAGGUUCCAUUAACUGGCUGUUUAAUCGUUGAUUAUUUUCCCUAUCCUACUACUUUCGUCAGCUUACUUGUUGCAGAAGCAUCAGCAUUUCCCAUAAUUUUGGUAUUUAGACAUGGUAACUGACCUUUCUUGGAUUGUAUUUGGUAUGAAACAAUAGAUUUUUCCUUUUUGACAAGGCUAGAUUAGAUUUGGGUGUGCAAAUUAUGCACGAAUUUUUGAGAUAUUAUUUUUUUGUCCAAUUGUUAAUUAUUCUUGUUGUUGUGAAUUUUCAGCAGUUACUUGCUGGACAAGUCUUUUUAGAAGAUCAUUUGAAUGUCUCAUUCAUCUCUUCUGGGAUUCUCUCAGAUUUCUACUUUGGUUAGGAGUUAUGACAGCGUCUAUUGGUUGAAGUUAAUUCUGAUUAUUAUGUUAAGCACUUGAGGCGUUUCCUUAUGUUCUCUCAGAGGACUUCACAAUUUGCAGCAUUAAUAUUUUUUAUGCUUCUAGUGCUUUGAAAGAUUUGAUUGUCAUAACUCACGAGUACUGUGAUCCGAAAUUCUCAAUCUCUUGUGGCAGAUUCUAUGUAUAUUAUCAAUGUGGUUGGUGAGGCUGUGUUGUUUAUGUGGUUAUUAUCUGUUUGGAGACCACACGAAGCCCAUGAUGCAGUUUGUCAAGCAUCCUCUGGUUUCUGUUGAAUGAUUAAAAUAGGUUUUCCAUUAGAUGGUGUUAUAUUUAAGGGGUUUCUUUGCUGUAACAUGCUGCUUAUUAUCAUGGAUGCAGGUCUUCCGAAAUGCUCUGAACAAUGGAUGCAUCUGUUUUGUGCUGGUUUAGUUGGCCCUCACUACUUUCAACUAUUAUUUGUUGCACUUAAUGUGCACAAGUUGGUCAUUUGAUACAGUUACUCAUCAAAAUAUGUUUGUUUGUUUUUAUUUUUGUCAAAAGGAAAGCAUAUGGGCAUCUAGUUUUGCAUGGGCACGUGAGUGUUUUGCUUUGGUCCAAUGGUAUUUGGUUUUAAACAUUAUCUAACCGUCAUCAGCAUUGCUGCAUCUGUUGGAUAUCUCUACUACUCAAGUCAGCAAGCUUGGUACAUUUUAUAAAUUUGCGCUUUUGAAGUUAGUCUUUUUCUAUGUUUUCUGUAUGUUCUAUUCAUAGUGUUUUUGUGUGGUGUUCCAGAAGCAUCAGCAUUAGCCAUAUGUCUGGUGAUUAGACAUGGAUACUGACCUUUCUUGGGUUGUAUUUGGUAUUAGAUAUAGGUUUUACAUUUUUGAUAAGGCUAGUUUAGAUUUAGGAGUGCGAAUUAUGAGUGAACUAGAUAUUUUUUUUCGUCCAAAUGUUAAUUAUUCUUGUUGUGAUGAAUUUUCAGCAGUUCCUUGGUUGGCAAGUCUUAUUAGAAGCAAGCUUCGCGAUUUCGAAUCAUACCGCCUGUAUCGGACAGUAUGUACCGGGCGAUACGCGGACUGCUCGCUACUGAGCGGUCCACUCGAUAUAGUCCCGUAUUAGACGAUACAGGACUGUUUCGGGCGGUAACGGUUGAAAUUUCGAUCAUUACCGUCUACUAUUGGGCGGUAUUAACCUAGCUAUGGCGAAGUUGAGGGAGAAGCAUCGAAGAAGGAAGAAGGAGAGGGCGUUCAAAGAAGAGGGAGAAGAAGAGAAAACCAUUUCCAUAUUGGGUUAAUUGCAUCCAUUGGUAUUCAUGUUUGGUUGUAGAGGUUGUCCGCCGAUUUUGUUGAAUUUUCUUGAAUUCCAUAGAGCCAUGGUUUCCAAUGGCCUGAUGGCUGUUCAUUUAUUGCCAAAAUGCAGUCCAACCAUUCCACGGAAUUACAUUUGGAUGGACAUUAUUUUCACUUUGACUUUGUGAACCUUUGGCUCUUAAAAGUACUCUUUUGGGUUUUUACUACAAUAACAACAACUAUAAAAUCGUAAGUCCUGAUUAUUUGGGCUCGGCUACUUGGAUCUUUUGCCAUCAUUGAAAUAUGUAAAAAGUUAUAUGUUUAGUUAAGUUUAAAGUAUUUAAAUCUUUAUUUAUAAUUUUUAUUAAAGUCUUUUUAGGUCUUUCUCUACCUCUUCUCAUACUACUAACAUAUUAAUUAUUUUAUGUUUUUUAACUACCACUCUUUUGGGUUUCUCUUCUUAAUUAACUUCUGUUUCUCUUUUGAAUCAUGUUUCCUUAUAUCUUGUUUGGAAGUUAGGACAUGGUAAUGAUGGCUCAUACAGGUACUUAAUUGCCAUAAAUGAGUUUUGGAUGGUGGUCUUGGGUUAUGAUAAUUGUCCUUGAUUGUUAUAUGGAUUUGUGAAGCAAUUCUAUACCUGCAAGUGAUGGCUUUGAAUAAAAGUGUUUUAAGAUGCAUUGUUUCUCUUUCCAUGUAUCAGUUUGGAGGUACAAACAUGCCAUGUUCUCUUGAUUUUUUUCCUUGAAACUCAUUCCAUAUUGCUGAUCUUUAGUAGAAUUGUUAUCUUCGUGGGCUGAAGUACCAUUUUGUUGGUCAUUAUAUUUGUUGUUAGUCUACUUGAAGCUUGUUUUGGGAGCUACCUAUCACAUUUUUCUAAUAGUUCUGUUAUUUUUCUAGACAUGGAGGUUUUGGAAUAUCAUGUUAUUAACUAAAGCAUGGAGCCUUCACAUUGUAAACAAAGGAGUCUAACUUUUGUCAAGGUAUCUUCUUGUAGAGACCCAAUUGCAGAUCGAAUAUUUCAUUGAUGAAGAUUCUUACAACCAUAUUUGAUACAAACAAGAUUUCAAGAUUAUUGUUUUGGUUAGCAUGAAGAAUAGAAGUUCUAUCUGCACUCAUAGUCAAAUAUUUUGCUACAGCUUCUUCUUGUUCUUCUGGAGGGAGAUGUCUUUUGAAAGGGGGUCAAAAAAAUCUCAAAUUGUUUGCAUGUUGUUUUCGAUUGUAUAGACAAAUAUGUUAAGUUCUAACGCAAUCAACGUUAGGUCUUUGAGUUUAUUUUUUUUAGUAUGGAUCAAAAUGUUAUAGAUGAACUUUGUGAUGUUAUAAUGAUGGUUACUGUGUUUCUUUGAGCUAUAGAAUUUUGUUGCCAAUUAGCCAUGUGUUUAUGUAAUUUGAUAUUAUCCUUGGUGGGAAUGACUUGUCAGAGAUUAGAUGAACUUUGAAAGAUGGAUCAGUUAUGACUUGCAGCUCCACUUUUUCACUUCUAUCAUGUGAUGUGCCAGCUUUUGUUGUAGUGAACUAGUGAUCAUAUUUUUUAGUUACUGGUCAUCUGGCAUACAUUGGUUUGGAUAUUUUCUUCUAAUGGGUUUUGGCUUGUCAUUGAGAAGUUCUUCUGGCAUGCUUUCUUUUGUGAGGGUAGAUCGAAAAUUUUGCUUACCCUUCCUUUGGAUCUUCAUUUUGGUUGCAAUAUCCAGACAAUGGUAAGAGCUUUUGCUGGAUCCUGUGUUUGAUGCAAGAUGGGCUUAUCCUGGCUUUGAUAAGAACUGUGGUUGCAAUAUAAGUUACAAUUUCUUUGCUUUUCUCAGGCAUAUUUUCUUCAAGUUUGAUAUGCAGUUUUUUUGUUGAACAUAUAUGUUGCAUUUGAAAUUUGUUUUGGGAAAACAAGAAUUGAGCAGCUCGGCAUCAUAUAGAUAAUAUUUUUGAGGGAAAGGAGUAUCUAUUUUCUUGGAUCAACCGAAGAAACAGUUUGGGUUGGUUCUUUUAUUCUGGUAUUCUGAAAUUAGUGAAUGAGUUCUAUGAUGAAGCAAAGAUGCACAAUACCAGGAAUCAAGAUUGCAGAACCAUAUCUUCAUUGUAUGAUGGUCAAUCUUUUCUUCAUUGGAUUGCAGACAUGAAAAGGGAUAUUUCCUGUAUUUAUCCACUUUUAACGGAGGACAUAGAAUGAUUCACCUUUGUUAGUUUCCUGCAAUAUGACCAUGUAGUUGGAAUAUCUACAGGAAGCCUGUACUGUUUAUAUGUGUUGGGAGUAUCAAAACAAUGGGUGUUUUAUGCACUACAAGGCCUCUUGCCUUUCCCUUUAUUUGCAUUGGCCUUCAGAUGUUGAUGUGUUAUGUGAUUAUAUGUGAAUUUUUGGGUGUCUUACACAAAAAAUGAUGGGUAUCCCAUGUCAUGCAUUGUCUUUUCAUUUCUUCAUAUUGGCAAGACAUGAGAGUGUCUUGGUUGUAGCAUUUGGUAAUGUGUAUUUAUGCUAGAUUUAUUUUCAACUACCUAGAUUAGCAAGCACUUUAUAUGUUAUAUUUAUGUCUCUGUUCUUGUCUAGUGAAUUCAUCAUGGAAAUUUUAUAUUGCUUUCUUACAUCUUUGGGUUUAGAUUCUUUUGUAUUCUCAAUAUUUGCCAUGUACUUUAUAUGUGAUACUUAUGCCACUUUUGAUUGGUUUUCAUCCCCUUUUCUGAAUCAUCAUCCAUUCCAUGCUAAAGAGUCACAAACUUUGUUUUAAUGUUGUAUGGUGAUGUCAUUUUAUUCCCUUCGUAUGUAUAAUCUUGAAUUUUUGUCCAUUCCAACCAAAGAAUUGAAUCUCAAGUAUCAGAUCUAUACUAGUUCAGGUCGAAGAAUUGAAUAUCGAGUAUCAGACCUAUACUGGUUUAGCGCAUACUGGUAUGGGUCUAAACCAUACUGGCAUCUUAUUGUAACAAAUUUAAAAAAAAUAUAAAAAUAAAAAUAAAGUUUAAUUUCUAUUUUUAUUGAUGAUGAACAAUUGGUCAUUCAUUGUUUCGCUAUAGCUAACUGUGGUUAUAUUGAUUUUCAUGUAGUUGUGUUUAAUUUCCCAGGGUUACGACUGAAUUCUUGAAUUGUGAUUUUAGUAUUAGUAAGGAGUUGAGGAUGCAGGAUGGAUGGAAUGAACGGAUCUAUCAUUUUAGGACAGCAAAAGUUGAAUGGGUAGAGCACUACAACGAGUGUUCUGAUAAUUAAGCCAUGUUUUAUGGAUCAAAAGUAUUUAAUGGUUAGAGAUAAUAGAUUACUUAAUUAUUGUAGGUCUUUUUUGUGAAUGAGAUGAUAGUAUAAUAGAUUAUACUAAGCUAAGGAUAUUCCAGUGCCAGUAAGAAUAGCAUGCUUAUUUUGUGUACACAAUUGAAUUUCUUUUCUAAUGGGGGUUGUAGUUGGGUACUUCUGUUCUGCUUGUGUAUAGAAGCAGGGUGAAUCAAUGCCAAUCUGAACUACCUGUUCAAGUGUGUAGCCCCUUUUUUUUUCUCAUGCAUAAGUCCAUUGAUAUUUUCUAUGAUUUCAAAGAUGAUUAGUUUAUUGCAUAUCAGUACAGAUAUAGUAAAAUUAGUGAUACAUAUGUUAGUGAAACAAUGAUAUAUCUUCACCUUUUGAAACUUCUUAUUUAAUGUUUCACUUUGUGGAGUCUUAAGCAUUCUAAUCUUAUGAUUUAAUUAAUUCUUACUGAAAUUGAUGUUUUCAUUGCCUACUGAAAUACAAUUUUCUAUGCGAACUUCUUAUGUAAUGUCUGUGUGCUUCGAGUCAAUAGUGCAAAUUCUAUUUUCUAUUUGAACUUCUUAUGUAAUGUCUGUGUGUUUCGAGUCAAUAGGGCAAAUUCUUUAAGCAUUCUAAUUUAUGUUUGUAUUACUAAUGUGCUUAUUGGUAUAAAAUUUCUCUAUCAUAUCAUUUGUUUGUCACUAGAGGUAGUGAUGUGGAGAUGUGAUGGAUAAUACAAGAAGCUAGAAACUUACAUCUACUUAGUGUUCAAUUUCAUGGAGGAUAUUACCAAAUAUUUUCUACUAGUGUUUUAACUGAGCAGCAAAACCAAAUAUUUAUGUAUUGACUAAGCAAAAGAUCUUUAAGAGCAAUCAACAUGAUUUUGCUUCAUGUAUUGGUCAUACAAUUUGCUGUAAUCUCUACUUGCCUCUCUGUUGGAAUAAAAUGAUGCCACCUUUGAUGGGUUUUGUCCU